ACCCAGGUCAGUGGGGGCUACCACGAGUUUAAGCAUAUAAAUAAGCUGAGGAGAAGAAAUUUACAAGGAUUCCUUAGUAAUGGCGAGUGAACCGAUCAGCCCCAGCUUGAGAAUCGGUGUGGCUGCGCCAUCUGAAUUGUAGUUCGAGAAGCGCCCUCAGCGACGGACCGCCCAAGUCCCCGGAAAGGGGCCGGGAGGGUGAGAGCCCCGUCCGGCUGGACCCCUGCCGCACCACGAAGGCCGUCGACGAAGUCGGGUUGUUUGGGAAUGCAGCCCCAAUCGGGCGGUAAAUUCCGGCCCAAGGCUAAAUAUGGGCGAGACCGAGAAGCUAACAAGUACCGAGAGGGAAAGAUGAAAAGGACUUUGAAAAAGAGAGUCAAAGAGUGCUUGAAAUUGCCGGAGGGAAGCGGAUGGGGCCGGCGAUGCACCUUGGUCGGAUGCGAAACGGCGGUUAGCCGGUCCGCCGCCGGCUCGGUGCGGAUCGAUGCGGGUUGCAUCGACGCCCGGCCCGGACGGAUCGUUUGCUCGAGGGGAUACCGCCGAUGCGGUCGAGGACAUGACGCUAUGCAUCGACGCGUCCCCGGGUACACGCGGGUGACCCAGGCAUCGCCAGGGGCCAUCCCACCCGCCUUGAAACACGACCAAGGAGUCCGGACAUGCGGCGCGAAGUCGACGGUGCGAAAACCCGAAGGCACAAGAAAGCUAACGGAAGGAACCCUCUCGAGGGGUUGCAAUCCGCCGCCGACCCGAUCUUCUUCGUGAAGGGUUCGAGUUGGAGCAUGCAUGUCGGGACCCGAAGAUGGUGAACUAUGCCUCGAAGCGAGGCGGCCGAGGAAACUCGGUGGAGGCCCGGGCGACAUCGACGCAAAAAUCGCUCGCCCCGACUUGGGUAUAGGGCGAAGACUAAUCGAACCAUCUAGUAGUCGGUUCCUCCAAAGUUUCCCGUGAUAGCCGAGCCCAUGUGCGAAGUUCUAUCGGGUAAAGCCAAUGAUUAGAGGCAUCGGGGCGAACGCCUCGACCUAUUCUCAAACUUUAAAUAGGUAGGACGGCGCCGCUGUUUCGCUGAGGCGCUGGCCGCGGAAUCGAGAGCCCGCGGGCCAUUUUGGUAAGCGAACCGGCGAUGCGGGAUGAACCGAAGCCGGGUUACGGUGCCCAAUCAUGCUAACCCAGACACCACAAAGGGUGUUGGUCGAUUAAGACAAAGGACGGUGGUCAUGGAAGUCGAAAUCCACUACGGAGUGUGUAACAACUCACCGUCCAAUCAACUAGCCCCGAAAAUGGAUGGCGCUUGAAGCGCAUGACCCACACCCAGCCAUCGGGCGAGCGCCAAGCCCCAUGAGUAGGAGGGCGUGGCGGUCACCGCGAAAACCCAGGGCGCGAGCCCGCUAAGCGGCCGGCCGGUGCAGAUCUUGGUGGUAGUAGCAAAUAUUCAAAUGAGAACUUUGAAGGUCAAGAAGGGAAAGGUUCCAUGUGAAUGGCACUUGCACAUGGGUUAGCCGAUCCUAAGGGGACGGGGAAGCCCGUCCAGAGUGUGUCUCCACGCCGAGUUCCCGAAAGGGAAUCGGUUGUACCUCCUCGGAUGACGCGCGGGCGGACGGCAACGUUAGGAUGUCCCGAGACGCCGGCGGGGCUCCGAAGAGUUAUCUUUUCUCGCUUAACGGCCCGCCACUCCUGAAACGUCCACCGGAGGUAGGGUCCGCGGUUGGAAGAGCGCCGCAUGCCGCUGGGCGGCGGCAGUCUCGCAGCCCUUUUUUGAAAACCGGAGGAUCUAGUGUGUCCCGCCGCCCGGCCGUAUUUCAUAACCGCAUCGUCUCCAAGGUGAACAGCCUCGCCCAUGGAACAAUGUAGGCAAGGGAAGUCGGAAAACGGAUCCGUAAAUCUCGGGAAAAGGAUUGCCUGAGGGCCGGGCACGGGGUCCGCCCCAACCCGUCGGCCGGGUUGCCGGCGGAUCGCCGAAAGCUACUCGCGCGGGCGAGAGCGGGUCGUCAGCGGGCCGGGGACGGAUUCAAUGGCCCCCUGGGCCUUUCCCCGCGUCGAACAGCCGAAUUCGAACCGGUACCUGACAAGGGGAAUCCGACCGCUUAAUUAAAACAAAGCAUUGCGAUGGUCCCCGCGAUGCUCACGCAAUGUGAUUUCUGCCCGCUUCAAAUGUCAAAGUGAAGAAAUUCAACCAAGCUGGUAAACGGCGGGAGUAACUAUGACUCUCUUAAGGUAGCCAAAUGCCUCGCCAUCUAAUUAGUGACGCGAUGAAUGAAUUAACGAGAUUCCCAUCGCCCUCGCCUACUAUCCAAAUAAAACCACGCCCAAGGGAACGGUCUUGGCAGAAUCAAAGGGAAAGAAGACCCGUUGAGCUUGACUUAGUCCCACUUUUGUGAAAUGACUUGAGAGGUGUAGGAUAACUGGGAGCCGGUCACGGGCUUAAGUGAAAAUACCACUACUUUUAACGUUAUUUUACUUAUUCCGCGAGUUCGAGAGCGCCCGCCCCUCCUUUUUGACCCAAGGCCCGCCUUAGCGGCCGAUCUCGGGCGAAGACAUUGUCAAGUGGGGAGUUUGGUCAAGGCGCACAUCUGUUAAAAAAGAUAACGCAGGUGUCCUAAGAUGAGCUCAACGAGAACAGAAAUCUCGCAGGAACAAAAGGGUAAAAGCUCGCUUGAUUUCUGGGAUUUUGAUUUAAUAAUGAACCGUGAAAAGCGGGCCUAUCGAUCCUUUAGACCUUCGGAAUUUGAAGCUAGAGGUGUCGGUGUUACCACCAGUGGAUAACUGGUUUGUGGCAGCCAAGCCGCUCAUAGAGACGCUUGCUUUUUGAUCCUUCGAUGUCGCCUUCUUCCUAUCAUUGUGAAGCAGAAUUCACCAAGCGUUGGAUUGUUCACCCACCAUUAGGGAACGGAGCUGGGUUUAGACCAUCGUGAGACAAAGUUAGUUUUACCCUACCAAUGAUCGUCGUCGAUAGCAAUUCAACCUAGUACGAGAGGAACCGCUGAUUCACACAAUUGGUCAUCGCUUUUGUUGAAAAGCCCCGGGCGCUGGUUACCGCGGUGUCGGAUUAUGACUGAACGCCUCUAAGUCAGAAUCCUAGCUAGCAUCCCAUGCCUCGCCGCCCGCGCCUUCUCCGACCCACAGUAGGGGCCUUUGGCCCCAUGGGGGCUCGUCGCCGGUGUAGCCCUCGUGGUGGUAUAGCCAUGGGCGCCAUCGAAGUGAAAUUCGCACGACGAUUGCGUCAAUCCUUUGCGCAUCGACUUAAAUACGCCGAUG
rnacentral:rRNA from 1 species